AGACCAGAAUAUUGCUUUAAGUACGAACAAUUACAACGGUGCUUACAACAUUUCAACUCAUUUGGAUAAAUGAACAAAUCUGCAAAUAUUAUUUGUGUAGUAUCGAAAGCCGCUAUUACCCAGCCAUCAAGAAAUCGCUGUAUUGAACACUAAACCAUACGGGACUCCUGUAUAGAGACACGGGCCACGAAACAACUUGCGGCUUUAUGUAACUUAACUUAGAAACAGCUAUUAUGAUGGGUGCUCAAAGUACAUUACAAACAAAAACGGAGACAAUGUAUGGUGUAAAUCUUAGUUGUUUUUUUUCCUAAACUUACUAAUGAAAUCGUAACUGUUCACAAAACACCUAUCUUACAAAUUUCCCCUGGAUAUCUAAUGUAAUAAAUAAUAAAGUAGCGGAACAAAAUAGCCGUGACCCAUAAACAAUAAAAGCAGAUUAAUAAAUAAAAAAAUAGGACAUUUUUACCGUCAUCUCACCAAGACAAACAUCAAUGUUAUUGACAAUUAUUCGCUGUGCAUAUUACUAUUUAAUACAAUCAAUAGAGUCACGCGAUCCCAAGUCACGGUUGCCUUGCGGUAACUAUAUAAUUAUGCUGUAAAGCUGACACUGUUUUUAUAGAUAUUUAUAGUCUGUAGUAGUAGUAGGUACAUAUAUAUGUACAAGUAUAUGAUGUUAUAUAAGUAAAAUAUGAUAAUAUCAGAGACCUGGUAUCGCAAUGCGUGUACUUCACUAAUAUUUAAACAGGCAAAUCGAUUUAUAGUAAGUAAUACACAGAUGAGCGCCGGUGUAGCUUACACCGGCGCUCAUCUGUAGCUGUCAUGUAGCUUACUUUUGAAAGAUAGGUGUGAAUUUUAUUUAUUUAGAAUGGGAGGACGUCUGAUGAAGAAGGGCCAAUUCAGGCAGUCGGUCGGUCGUAAAAACAGGUGUCUAAUAACAGUGUUCGUAAAUCGGGCGGAUCCGUAAGGACGUGUCCAACGCGUCGGCAGAGACCGGUUUUUGCAUGAGCCGAUUCCAAGGAGUAGUCAGUUGCGGCCACCACGAAAAGCGACUUUAGAGAAGUUGGCUAUUCACUGCCUUAUCCCGAUACUACAGCCCUGAGAAAAAAGGUUACUUUUAAAUUUAUAUAAUAGAAUAACCAGUGUCUCACUAUUCAAAUCGGAGCUAAUAAUUACUUCGCGCUAGAAAUAUGCUGGACGGUGGUUCAAGCGUCUGUGGGCUUACAAUACAGUGUACCGGUAAAAAAAUGUACCCUAUAAUUGAUGCCUUGAAUCUUAAAUGAACUUUAAGUUACUGUCUUGGCAAUUUCAACAUGUAGGGCAAAGCGAUCGUAUAGCUUCAAGGUCUUUUCUAUAACUUGUAAACUGCGCCAAAAGCGGAUGUUUUUACAAAUUAUAUUAUGGGGUUAAUAUGUUUGAUAUAUUGUAUUUUCAUAUUCCUCUUUUCCCUUUUACUAGGUUACUUUGUUCUUUUUUGUUCUGAUUGUUUGACCCUUAUUUUAGUUUUUAAUAAAUCAGUUGUUGUGACUUUAUCUUAAAUAAAUAGGGUUUGAAUAUUUAGCUGUCGAUAAAACCCUAAACAUAGUUGAGUGAAAAAAAAAACAAACACACGAGUAUGCUAUCGAAAAUGCCCAUAUAUGUAUUAUACCUAGCAGGCGACUGUGACGAACAGACUUGUAUAUAAAUUUAUGUAUGUCUCAGAAAUAAAUGUAUUUCAAUUCCAAUUCCGAAA